CCAACAGGGAUUACCUCAGUAACGGCGAGUGAAGCGGAACAGCUCAAAUUUGAAAUCUGGCCUCACGGUCCGAGUUGUAAUUUGUAGAGGAUGCUUCGAGCAUGGUCUGGCCUAAGUUCCUUGGAACAGGACGUCAAUAGAGGGUGAGAAUCCCGUAUGCGGCCAGGUGCCUACGCUCAUGUGAAGCUCCUUCGACGAGUCGAGUUGUUUGGGAAUGCAGCUCAAAAUGGGUGGUAAAAUUUCAUCUAAAGCUAAAUAUUGGCCAGAGACCGAUAGCGCACAAGUAGAGUGAUCGAAAGAUGAAAAGCACUUUGGAAAGAGAGNUAAACAGUACGUGAAAUUGUUGAAAGGGAAGCGCUU
rnacentral:rRNA from 1 species